AACGAACGCUGGCGGCAUGCCUAACACAUGCCAGUCGAACGAGACCUUCGGGUCUAGUGGCGCACGGGUGCGUAACGCGUGGGAACCUGCCCUUAGGUUCGGAAUAACUCCCCGAAAGGGGUGCUAAUACCGGAUAAUGUCUUCGGACCAAAGAUUUAUCGCCUUUGGAUGGGCCCGCGUUGGAUUAGCUAGUUGGUAGGGUAAAAGCCUACCAAGGCGACGAUCCAUAGCUGGUCUGAGAGGAUGAUCAGCCACACUGGGACUGAGACACGGCCCAGACUCCUACGGGAGGCAGCAGUGGGGAAUAUUGGACAAUGGGCGAAAGCCUGAUCCAGCAAUGCCGGGUGAGUGAUGAAGGCCUUAGGGUUGUAAAGCUCUUUUACCCGGGAUGAUAAUGACAGUACCGAGAGAAUAAGCUACGGCUAACUCCGUG
rnacentral:rRNA from 1 species